rnacentral:lncRNA from 1 species
CACGUGCGUCUGCGGCAUGGCGAUGACGUCAUCGCAACAGCGCGUCGACCUGGCGGACGCAUUUCUGAGCAGUCGGCGGUCGACAGACAACGCUCACUCGGUCGACAGCGGAAAUCCAGUCGAAGACAGCGACGGAGCGGAGCAAAUCGUCGGAAACGGACUGUCAGCGACCGCGGUCGUCAACUCGGUAGACGGCGCUCACGUCGCGUCAGAGAAGAAUGCCGACGCGCUGGCGGUGGAGGGAUUCGGAGUGGAGCAGGGCCUAUUGUAGCAAACUUAAAGAGGGGGUGUGACGUCAUCCAGCCGAGAACGGAAACCGUACACCAGCAGUGGAGCUCUGUCGGUCAAGACAUGCAGAGUUGAGAUGACGUCCCUCUCUGGUUGGCUGCUUGUCGAUUCGUUUGUAUAGGCGACAGGUGUCCGCACAUUAGGGUUUAUUUUGUAGACGAAGAAAUUACGUAAGGUUGUUGAUCUUGUACAAAUUUUGUAUAGUACCUCGUACUACCCGUCGAUGUGAGAUUUUGGGUUUCUUCGUCAGUUUUCCCGCCGACAAAAUGUGUUUCGUGAAAGUGCCAAUCGUGGAUGUUUCAGUGAGUUCCCUCGUAUGCUUCAAGCUGUCGUCUAUACACCGGAUCUCUUGAAUGUAUAGAGCGUGCGUCGUGGAGAGCAUAACUAAAAAUGGAAUACAUUAUUCCGUCAAAUAGAAUUCUACCAUUUAUCUACUGUAAAGAGUACCGAGUGCCACAAUCAAUACAUAAUCAAGUACAUUAAACCCCUAUCGGGGCACGAAUGCUUUGCCAACAGAUAUGUUGAUAAAUAUUGGCGCCAUCUGGUUAUUAUCAGAAGUAGGUAAUAGGGAAUUCCCUUUUAUCUACUUCUGUUAUUAUCUUACUCUUGCUGUUAAUAUAGCGCCGUGUCGGUCGCUGGUCGGAUUUAUAGAAGUUUGCAAUGACGCAGACGCUACACCUCUACUCUGCUGUACAACGUUUCCUCUCUUUAUCGCUAGUUAAUCAUUUCAAACUCAUGGGAAGCGAACACUCGGUAUAUCCAUAGUUGAUGCGAGUUGCUUCGUCAUUCAGCAUGCACUGAUUAUGUUGUAACGAGUGUGUCCACUCCUGGAGUAUUAUAUAUAGCCAUGGUGGGCACAGAUAUACACGACAGCUAUGAUAGUGAUUGUAAUAUAAGAUGGAAGCUUAGUAAUGAUAUAUUCAUUGUGUAUACGAUAAUAGCAGAAGUGUGUAAUAUAGACUAUAUAAUAUAGACUAUAUAGACUAUAUAUAGAGUCUAUAUGACACACUCCUGAUGAUAUGUCAGUGGUCGCCGAUUUUAGGCGACCGUCAACCAAUCUAGAAUCUAAUCAUCAAAAAACCGCGAUGGGAAAAGUAUAAAAUUAUUUAUGACCAUCAGCGGUUAGUGCAUCGUGUCAUAUGUUGCAAUAGUAUGAGCUUGCGCGUUGGUGUGUGUGUGUGUGUGUGUGUGUGUGUGUGUGUGUGUGUGUGUGUGUGUGUGUGUGUAUGCGUGUACGUGUGCGUGUGCGUAUACGUGUGUGUGUUUGUGCGCGUGCGUGCGCAUGUUAAUUCCUGUGUAUGCAUGCACGUGUGAUUGCGCAUGUGUAUUAAGUGGGCAUCGAAGUGGCGGGGCGAAUGAAAUAGCUAAAGAGAAUAUUAUAAAUGAUUUAAACUAGAAUGUCCUCAUAAUAAAUGGUAGUCAAAGCGCGAUACGUACA